UUUAUGGAGAGUUUGAUCCUGGCUCAGGAUGAACGCUGGCGGCGUGCCUAAUACAUGCAAGUCGAGCGAACGGACGAGAAGCUUGCUUCUCUGAUGUUAGCGGCGGACGGGUGAGUAACACGUGGAUAACCUACCUAUAAGACUGGGAUAACUUCGGGAAACCGGAGCUAAUACCGGAUAAUAUUUUGAACCGCAUGGUUCAAAAGUAAAAGACGGUCUUGCUGUCACUUAUAGAUGGAUCCGCGCUGCAUUAGCUAGUUGGUAAGGUAACGGCUUACCAAGGCAACGAUGCAUAGCCGACCUGAGAGGGUGAUCGGCCACACUGGAACUGAGACACGGUCCAGACUCCUACGGGAGGCAGCAGUAGGGAAUCUUCCGCAAUGGGCGAAAGCCUGACGGAGCAACGCCGCGUGAGUGAUGAAGGUCUUCGGAUCGUAAAACUCUGUUAUUAGGGAAGAA
rnacentral:rRNA from 1 species